UGGGGAAUAUUGCACAAUGGGCGAAAGCCUGAUGCAGCAACGCCGCGUGAGGGACGACGGCCUUCGGGUUGUAAACCUCUUUUAGCAAGGAAGAAGCGAAAGUGACGGUACUUGCAGAAAAAGCGACCGGCUAACUACGUGCCAGCAGCCGCGGUAAUACGUAGGGCGCAAGCGUUAUCCGGAAUUAUUGGGCGUAAAGAGCUCGUAGGCGGUUUGUCGCGUCUGCUGUGAAAACCCGAGGCUCAACCUCGGGCCUGCAGUGGGUACGGGCAGACUAGAGUGCGGUAGGGGAGAUUGGAACUCCUGGUGUAGCGGUGGAAUGCGCAGAUAUCAGGAAGAACACCGAUGGCGAAGGCAGAUCUCUGGGCCGUAACUGACGCUGAGGAGCGAAAGGGUGGGGAGCAAACAGGCUUAGAUACCCUGGUAGUCCACCCCGUAAACGUUGGGAACUAGUUGUGGGGUCCAUUCCACGGAUUCCGUGACGCAGCUAACGCAUUAAGUUCCCCGCCUGGGGGAGUACGGCCGCAAGGCUAAAACU
rnacentral:rRNA from 1 species